rnacentral:rRNA from 1 species
GAUGAACGCUAGCUACAGGCUUAACACAUGCAAGUCGAGGGGAAACGACAUCGAAAGCUUGCUUUUGAUGGGCGUCGACCGGCGCACGGGUGAGUAACGCGUAUCCAACCUGCCCAUCACUUGGGAAUAACCUUGCGAAAGUAAGACUAAUACCCAAUGAUAUCCCACGAAGGCAUCGGAAUGGGAUUAAAGAUUUAUCGGUGACGGAUGGGGAUGCGUCUGAUUAGCUUGUUGGCGGGGUAACGGCCCACCAAGGCAACGAUCAGUAGGGGUUCUGAGAGGAAGGUCCCCCACAUUGGAACUGAGACACGGUCCAAACUCCUACGGGAGGCAGCAGUGAGGAAUAUUGGUCAAUGGGCGAGAGCCUGAACCAGCCAAGUAGCGUGCAGGAAGACGGCCCUAUGGGUUGUAAACUGCUUUUAUAAGGGAAUAAAGUGGGUCACGUGUGACUUUUUGCAUGUACCUUAUGAAUAAGGACCGGCUAAUUCCGUG